CAGCGAAACUGCGAAUGGCUCAUUAUAUAAGUUAUCGUUUAUUUGAUAGUACCUUACUACUUGGAUAACCGUGGUAAUUCUAGAGCUAAUACAUGCUAAAAAUCCCGACUUCGGAAGGGAUGUAUUUAUUAGAUUAAAAACCAAUGCCCUUUGGGCUCCUUGGUGAUUCAUAAUAACUUUUCGAAUCGCAUGGCCUUGCGCCGGCGAUGGUUCAUUCAAAUUUCUUCCCUAUCAACUUUCGAUGUUUGGGUAUUGGCCAAACAUGGUCGCAACGGGUAACGGAGGGUUAGGGCUCGACCCCGGAGAAGGAGCCUGAGAAACGGCUACUACAUCCAAGGAAGGCAGCAGGCGCGCAAAUUACCCAAUCCCGAUUCGGGGAGGUAGUGACAAUAAAUACUGAUACAGGGCUCUUUUGGGUCUUGUAAUUGGAAUGAGUACAAUUUAAAUCCCUUAACGAGGAACAAUUGGAGGGCAAGUCUGGUGCCAGCAGCCGCGGUAAUUCCAGCUCCAAUAGCGUAUAUUAAAGUUGUUGUGGUUAAAAAGCUCGUAGUUGAACCUUGGGCCUGGCUGGCCGGUCCGCCUCACCGCGUGUACUGGUCCGGCCGGGCCUUUCCCUCUGUGGAACCUCAUGCCCUUCACUGGGUGUGGCGGGGAAACAGGACUUUUACUUUGAAAAAAUUAGAGUGCUCCAGGCAGGCCUAUGCUCGAAUACAUUAGCAUGGAAUAAUGAAAUAGGACGUGUGGUUCUAUUUUGUUGGUUUCUAGGACCGCCGUAAUGAUUAAUAGGGACAGUCGGGGGCAUCAGUAUUCAAUUGUCAGAGGUGAAAUUCUUGGAUUUAUUGAAGACUAACUACUGCGAAAGCAUUUGCCAAGGAUGUUUUCAUUAAUCAGGAACGAAAGUUAGGGGAUCGAAGACGAUCAGAUACCGUCGUAGUCUUAACCAUAAACUAUGCCGACUAGGGAUCGGACGAUGUUAUUUUUUGACGCGUUCGGCACCUUACGAGAAAUCAAAGUG
rnacentral:rRNA from 3 species